rnacentral:rRNA from 1 species
UACAUAGGGUGCAAGCGUUGUCCGGAAUUAUUGGGCGUAAAGAGCUCGUAGGCGGUUUGUCGCGUCUGCUGUGAAAACUGGAGGCUCAACCUCCAGCCUGCAGUGGGUACGGGCAGACUAGAGUGCGGUAGGGGAGAUUGGAAUUCCUGGUGUAGCGGUGGAAUGCGCAGAUAUCAGGAGGAACACCGAUGGCGAAGGCAGAUCUCUGGGCCGUAACUGACGCUGAGGAGCGAAAGCGUGGGGAGCGAACAGG